rnacentral:lncRNA from 1 species
AAAUGUUUAACCUUAAACAUUAGUUGAAUGCUACUAUCAUUUUAGGAAUUAGGGAGUAUAAAAUUUUCUGUUCUUUAAUUUAAACAUUAAGAAGCACGGACAUGAGAUACGAAAACAACAUGAAAAAUUUAAGUGUACAUCCAACAAAUUUGAUACCUCAAAAUAGAUAAGACUCAUAAAUUUGGGUGAGUUCAAUUCUAGAGUUGAUAAUUAUAAUUAGUAUUGAAAAGAGAGACAACGAGUUCACACUAAUUUACGUGGAAACCCGAGUACCGGGAGAAAAACCACGAUUGUUUGUUGUUAUUAUUUUCUAAUGAAUAAAACAAUAGGUACAGGGGAGAAUAAAUAGAGUACACAAUGGAAUAAAAAAGGAAAAGAUUUAGGAAAAUAAGGAAUACAUUCCCAUAAUCUUUCCAUAAUUAUUCUAGGAUUCUAACAAGGAAAAAGCCUAGAAAAAAAGGAAAGAAUUCCAACACUCCCCCUCAAGUUGGGACGUAAAUAUCAAUGAGGCCCAACUUGCUAACGCAAAAGUCGAAGUUUGGUCUGAGAAGCCCUUUGGUAAGAACGUCAGCAACCUGUUGACUCGAAGGGAUGUACGGAAUGCAUAUGCUCCCACUGUCAAGUUUUUCUUUGAUAAAAUGUCGAUCAAUCUCAACAUGUUUAGUUCUAUCAUGUUGAACAGGGUUGUUAGCAAUACUAAUAGCGGCUUUAUUAUCACAGAAAAGCUUCAAUGGUGUCUCACAUUCCUGAUGAAGAUCUGUCAAAACUUUCUGAAGCCAAAUUUCCUCACAUAUUCCUAAACUCAUAGCUCUAUAUUCAGCCUCAGCGCUGCUCCUGGCCACAACACUUUGCUUCUUACUCCUCCAAGUUACAAGAUUGCCCCAAACAAAGGUACAAUAACCAGAGGUAGAUUUUCUGUCAACAACAGAUCCUGCCCAAUCCGAGUCAGUGUAUGCCUCAACGGUCUUUCUGUCUGUUUUUCUAAACAUCAGCCCUUACCAGGUGUUGAUUUUAAGUAUCUCAAGAUUCUGUUGACAGCUUUCAUGUGUUCCUCAUUAGGGGUCUGCAUAAACUGGCUGACAACACUCACAGCAAAGGAAAUAUCAGGACGAGUAUGAGAUAAGUAAAUUAAUUUACCCACGAGGCGUUGAUACUGUUCUUUAUCAACUGGAACUUGAUCAUCAGAGUUUCCUAGUUUGCAGUUGAAUUCAAUAGGAGUGUCAGUGGGACGACAUCCUAACAUACCUGUCUCGGUUAACAAAUCAAGGAUGUAUUUUCUUUGAGAUACGGAGAUACCUUCUUUAGAUCUGGCCACCUCCAUUCCAAGGAAAUAUUUCAAAUUUCCCAAAUCCUUGAUUUCAAACUCAUCGCCCAUUCUCUGCUUUAGUUGACUGAUUUCUGCCUGAUCAUCUCCAGUCAAAACAAUGUCAUCCACAUAAACUAUUAGAACAGCAAUCUUUCCUGUUUUGGAAACCUUUGUAAAUAAAGUAUGAUCAGAGUGUCCCUGCCUGUACCCUUGGGACUUGACAAAGGUAGUGAAUCUGUCAAACCAUGCUCUGGGAGACUGUUUCAGACCAUAUAUAGAUUUUGGAGUUUACACACAUGCUGACCAAACUGGGCUUCAAAUCCAGGCGGAGGGCUCAUGUAGACUUCCUCUACGAGGUCUCCAUUCAAAAAGGCAUUCUUAACAUCCAGCUGAUAUAAGGCCAAUCUUUGUUCACAGCAACAGAUAACAGAACUCUAAUAGUAUUCAACUUAGCAACUGGAGAAAAAGUUUCUGAAUAGUCAAUACCAUAGGUUUGAGUAAAUCCCUUCGCAACUAACCUUGCCUUGUGUCUGUCAAGAGUACCAUCAGCUUUGUAUUUGAGAGAGAACACCCAUUUGCAUCCCACAGUUUUGUGUCCCUUAGGUAGAGUACAAAUGUCCCAAGUACUAUUCUUUUCAAGAGCUUUCAUCUCUUCCAUGACAGCAUUCUUCCAUUCAGGAUACUUUAAAGCAGUGUAGAUAUCUUUUGGUAUUAUGGUAGAGUCAAGGCUUGCUGUAAAAGCUCUGAACUGAGGAGAGAGAUAUCGUAGGAAACAUAAUUGCAAAUGGGGUGUUUAGUACAAGACCUGGUGCCUUUUCUCAGAGCAAUGGGAAUGUCAAGAGAGGAAUCAUACUCAUCUGAUUUUCCUGUAUGACCCUGUUCCGCUUCAUUAUUACGGGUUUCUAUUCUGACCUCAAUCUCAUCACCACUGUCCUUUUCUUCCACGUUUUCAAGAACAGCAACAUUAGACCUGUCAUUCUCACUUAUCAUAUUCUUAGUACAGGGUUCAGUAGGGUUUUCCAUACCUUGAUCUCGAGGAGGUUCAGAGUCUUGGACUGGAGCCGGCGGCUGACUAGUAGGGGAACCGACUUCCUUUUUGUGAUUCCUCCUGUAGUACGUUUUCCAGGGGACUUGGUUUGUGGGUAGGACUAUGGAAUGAGGAAUGAUGUUAGACACAACACUAGGAGUGGGUUCGAUGAAUUCAAAGGUGUUGUUAGACUCUUCACUCACACUCUCCCCCUGAAGAUGGCUAACGGGAAAGUAGGGUCGAUCCUCACAGAAAGUAACAUCCAUAGUGACAAAGUAUUUUCUGGAUGGUGGGUGAAAACAUUUAUAACCACGCUGGUGAGGGGGAUACCCAACAAACACACAUGCCUGAGCCCGAGGGGUAAAUUUGGUUUGAUUAGGGCCAAAAUUAUGGACAUAAGCGGUACACCCAAACACACGAAGAGGAACCUCAGAAACAUGACGAGUCGAUGGGUAGGACUCCUUAAGACAAUCUAAGGGAGUUUGAAGAUGAAGAAUACGAGAAGGCAUUCUAUUGAUUAAAUGAGCUGCUGUAAGAAUAGCAUCUCCCCACAAGUAUGAAGGAAGGGAAGUAGAAAGCAUAAGGGAACGGGCUACUUCCAGAAGGUGACGGUUUUUUCGCUCGGCCACUCCAUUUUGUUGAGGAGUGUAGGCGCACGAGUUUUGAUGAACAAUCCCCUUGGAAGCAAGAAAUUCACUAAGGUUAUGGUUUUGGAAUUCCCGACCAUUAUCACUCCGAAGAAUAGCAAUUUUUUGAUGGAAUUGUGUUUCAAUGGUGUGAUAGAAAUUUUGAAACAUAGAGGAAACCUCAGAUUUAACAGUGAUAAGGUAGACCCAGGUAAGACGGGUAUGAUCAUCAAUGAAGGUUACGAACCACCGUUUUCCAGAUGAGGUUGUUAUCUUGGAUGGUCCCCAGACAUCACUAUGAACAAGAGUGAAGGGUUGGGUUGGUUUGUAUGGUUGUGAGGGAAAAGAGACUCGAUGUUGUUUGGCCUGAAUACACACAUCACAAGAUAAGGUAGUCAUCUCAACUUUAGAGAAGAGAUGUGGAAAUAAAUGUUUCAUAUAUUGAAAAUUAGGGUGGCCUAAACGAAAAUGCCACAACAUACAAUCUUGUUCAGAAGUAGUGAAAUAGGAAGAUAAGAGACUAGUCCUAGGAAUGCUACUAGAAGAGGUAUCGUCAUCAAGGAGGUAGAGUCCCCUACUAUGCCGGGCAGUGCCAAUCAUCCUCCCCGAGCUCAAGUCCUGAAAAGAGACAGAAUCAGGUAAGAAUAUUGCUUUGCAGUUUAACUCAUGAGUGAUCUUGCUUAUCGAAAGCAAAUUAUAAGAUAGUUUGGGCACAUGCAAAACAUUAUGUAAGGAGAGCCCUGCACAAGGAGAAAUCUUCCCCUUUCCAGCAAUGGGGGCCAAGGAGCCAUCUGCAAUUCUAAUUGUCUCGUUCCCAGCACAAGGAAUGUAAGAUACAAAAUGAACCAGUCAAAUGAUCUGUGGCACCAGAAUCCAGAAUCCAGGGGUUCUCCCAUCAAUACUAACAAGACCGAAGGAAUGAGGUAUACCUGAUUGGACAAUGGCACCUAAAGUGGCAAGACUGAGAUCAGUUUGGUUUUUGUGUGGAUCGGAUUGUUGAGGAGGUUCAGCAGACUCACUCACAUACGCCCGCCCUGUUUGUCGUUGGAAGGGCGUUUCUUACUUCCUGGGGGACGACCAUGUAACUUCCAACAUUGUUCUUUGGUAUGCCAUUGUUUUUUGCAAUGCUCGCAGACAGGAAUUGGUUUUCCAUUAUGCUUGUCACUGCUACUGUUAGAAGAUCUUGCACUAAAAGCAGCAGAGUCAAUAGUAGGGGUUGCGGAAAUAUUCAUAGCACUUGUGCGAUCUUCCUCGAGGCGGAUUUCAGAGCAAACUUCCAUCAGGGAGGGAAUCGGUCUUUGACCUAGUAUACGCCCUCUACAUCAAACUUAGGAUUAAGACCAGCAAGAAAGUCAUAAAUCCUGUCAUUCUCUUCAAUUCUCGAGUACUGUACACCAUCAGUGGGAUCACGCCAGACUAGUUCUCUGCAUAGGUCCAUUUCUUGCCAUAUAAGAGAAAGCUUAUUGAAAAAGGAUGUGACAUCCAUGGUUCCUUGCUUGCAUUCAUGAACUUGCUUUCUCAGCGUGUAUAGACGAGAGGCAUUCUGACGUUUUGAGUAAAGUGUCUGGGCUGUGUCCCAAAUAUCCUUGGCUGUUGCAGCAAACAAUAACGGCUUGCCAAUUUGAGGUUCCAUACUAUUGAUCAAUAUGGAUCGAAGAAUAGAGUCUUCUGCCUUCCAAUAUCGUUCAUGUGGGUCGCCCGGUAGGGGGCGAGGUAUUUCCCCUGUCAGAAAGCUAAAUUUUUGUCGUCCUUCGAGGACCAUCUUUACUGACUGAGACCAUGAGAAAUAGUUGUUGCCAUUCAACUUUUCUCCUGAAAGAUGAUACAUGGAAGACUGAGCCACCGUAUUAGUCACAUAAGGAGAGGAUACAUUAGGGAACGAGUUUACCGGAUUCUCAGAAUACAUCGGUAGAGUGGAUGUCGUCCCUAAGGUAGCCUCAAGUGCUGCUAUCUGUUGUCGAAGCCCUUCCAAUUGUUGAUGAACUAUUCCCGAGGAAGCUUGCACGUUACGGUUGGAAUAUGCCGAAGAUUCACCAACCUCAAAUGUUGAGUGAAUUUGAGAGUUUUUAACAUCGGGAUGGUAGCUAGGAUCAUUGGGUGGCUGGCCAUACAGAUUUGACGGCAGAAGCGGUGGUAGCCGAUUGGAAUUAGAUGGCAGAACAUAAAUCGGGGCGUGGGGAGCAAUAUAGGCCGCGGACGAAGAAAAGGGUUGGACAGAUGGGAUGGUCGGCGCCGUCUGAGGAAGAAAACCAGGCGCAUGGUGGUCCGGUGACGGCGCGGACGACUGCGGUAAUGAGACGUUUUUUGUAGCCGGCUUAAUAAUUCGUCCAUGGCAGCACUCAUCCGAGCAUCGAUGGCAGCAGCUACGGCAGCACUAAAAUUGAUGGCUGUCCCUUCUGUUUGAUUUUCAUCAGUGGUUUGGUUUUUUUGGGUUUCUAGGGUGUUUUCAUUGCCCCGCUCUGAUACCAUAUUGAAAAGAGAGACAACGAGUUCACACCAAUUUACGUGGAAACCCGAGUACCGGGAGAAAAACUACGAUUGUUUGUUGUUAUUAUUUUCUAUGAAUAAAACAAUAGGUACAGGGGAGAAUAAAUAGAGUACACAAUGGAAUAAAAAAGGAAAAGAUUUAGGAAAAUAAGGAAUACAUUCCCAUAAUCUUUCCAUAAUUAUUCUAGGAUUCUAACAAGGAAAAAGCCUAGAAAAAAAGGAAAGAAUUCCAACAAUUAGAUAAGUAAUGAGUUGGACAAUGGGCAUCAGGUAAGGGUAUGGUUAAGGAUUUUUCUUAUUAAAGAAAUUCAAUCAAGUUUUUUAAGGUUGAUGUGCCCCCUACGUGACUGAAUAUGACCAAAAUUGAAGGAACUUAAAAUAAAAUUGGAUAGCUUUUUCAGUUUAAAGUGUGUUUGAACGUAUCUUUGUCCGACAUGUGCUUGACACGGACACUUCUGAUACAACAAAAAAUAUCCGUACUUUCUAUACUCUACAUGUUCACCCAGAAUUAGAUACCAUUUUAUCUCUUCCUUACUUUUUGUCCUUCCAACAGAAAAUGAUUAGAAAGUUUUCGACUUGGGAUUUAUAAGUUUCAAGAGAAAUGGAUAUAAGAAAAAAAGAGAUAAUGUUGAAAUGGGCUUGCUUGCUACAUCCCGUGUCUUUUUUAUAUGAAUGUUUUAGGAGCUUUGUAUACAUGGUCCUUUUUUUUUCUCUUCUACUUUUGGUAUUUAAAAUAGUUUUUAGUUAAGUUUUGAAAUAUUUGAAACUUGAUUUACAAUAUAGUUCAUUAGAUUCCUUAACUUGUUUGAUUUUGUCAACAAAAUUGGCAUCUUUAUUCACAUAUCUAAACUGUGGGGGUUUAUAUGCUUAUUGGGUUUGCUUGGUUUUAACUUGGUCUUUGUGCUUGUAUGUCUAUAUCUUCAUAUUUCCAUAAUCUUGUUUUCAUUAGUCAAAGGCUUUUACAAAGUUGUUAGUUGGAUAUGGGUUGAAGAGUACCAGUAAGUUUACCAGUUACAUCUGUCCAAAGGUUGAGUCUUACAGAUUUGGGAACUAUAGUUUGGUCCAAUUAGUGCAACUUAUCCAUUUCUUUUUCUUUUGAAUAAAAAAUUGGCUGCUUGGUCAUAUUUUGCACAUCUUUAACAGUCAAUGCUUCAUAUCUCCCUCAGCUGACUGAUAAAGUAUUGGUUUGUUUAAUGAUAAUGAUACUAAUUGAAAUUUACCAAUCGCACAAAAAAUAAAUAAACAAAUCAAGUAUGGGAUAGGUGAGAUAAUGUAAUAUUAAAUUUAUUAGCUUUAACCCAUAAGCUUAAGCUUUGUGAUGGUAUUGAAGAAAGUGGUCUAGAGGGUUCUAUAUUCAAUCAUAUACUGUUAUUUUCUCUUCGAUUAAUAUCAAUUUUCAUUUAUUUGUUGGCAAAAGUGUUAGAUGAUGUAAUAUUAAAUUUACCUUUAACCAUCCGUUUAAGUUUUUAGGUUUACGAUGAUUUAAGAGGAACUAAUACUAAAUUAUGUGAUAAUCUAUUGUACUGGGUAG